CCUGUUUGAUUGUGUUUUCAGUUUUUGUUUUUUAAAAGCAUUUUAUAAAUCAAUUUUUAGAAACUAUUUUUAAGAAGAAAAUAAAAUAAAUACCUGCUUGGAAUCUUAUUUUUAAAAAGUGUUUUAUAGAUAAGAAAAUUCUGUCACUUAUUUACAAAAAUGCCAUUAAUGAAAAUAUACCACAUUUUCGUGUUUUUAGUUUUGGAAACUGGAAACUGAAAAUCAAAACAUUAUUUAGCAGUUCUCAUUUUUUAGUUUUAAAAACAGCAAAACAUAAAACAGUUUUGGGAAACAAUUUUUAAAAAGUAGUCAAUCAAACAAGUUUUAGAAUUUUCAAAUUUUAGAGAAGAGAAAACAGUUUUCAAAAACAGAAUCAAACA
rnacentral:lncRNA from 1 species